UGUUCUCAUCUGGGGGACAGGCCAGCUCUUAGGAUAAUGCUGGCUGGGCUCCCUUUGCUGAUGUUACAAACUAUUUGCUCAAUCAGCAAAAGUGUAGUUCUCAUGCCUGUGCAGUUCCCUGUUUGGCUUGUCUUCUGCACUGAUGCUGAUCAGGCGUGUGUGUGUGUGUGUGUGUGUGUGUGUGUGUGUGUGAAGGGGGAAGCACUCGCAGCAGGAAAACCAUGUGGUGCCAAUACAAGAGAACCAAGCUGUAAGUUACAUCUCAAUCAAGUAGUUGCCUGCUAGCUUGUCUGUCAUCUGUAACUGAGAAGAUCACCCAGACAUGUGCAUUAAUCUGGGAACCCAGUUGUGUGUAUUGAGAUCAUGGGGAUAUUUAUGUAUGCCACUACUGUAUUUCGUUAGCCCAAAAAUGGAAAACGAGCGAGGUCCCAACCAAAGAAGAGUGGCAACUUAAGUUGACAGAAUAUGCACAGCUUGGGGAUUUAACAUACAGAAUAAGAGAACAAGAAGAACAUACAUUUAGAGAAGACUGGAAAAUGUUUAUUGAAUAUAUAGGAAAUAACUGUGUGCCGCUGAAAACGCUGGCAGCAUUAAGAUAAAUUAAACAGUGUAAAUAAGUCAUGAUGGAUGGAAUAAUGGAAUACUGAAUGGUAUAGUUUCUGUAAAAUAUGCAGGGAUUUAUGAUAUGUAAAAUGGACCAUGGAAGAAGAAGAUGGGAAUUUGUUGAUAUUUUAAGGAUGUAAAAAUGAGUACUUUAAAUUGUAAAACAGAACAUUUAAUAAAAAUUAUAUACAAAAAGAAGAGAGAGACCAUGGGGAUAUCUAUUUGGAGACAAAAAGCAUCCCAUGAAAAGGGCAGAACACAAUUUUGCAGAGGGGGUGAGUCACAAGGAGACAGUUACGGUUGCAAAAAUGGGACAGGCUGGUAUGGAAUGUGCAUAGAGUUUGGGGAUAAUAGCAUGGUGCCAGCAAAACAUGUAAUCUACUUUCACCACAGCUGUUAUACUAAUGCUCCAAAGUUUGCACUGGCUCCCUAUUGUCUUCUUUCUAGGCACAAUUCAAGGGCCUUUCCGGACAGUGGUCUUCUUCUCAGGGAUAUCACAGAAUUUUCUGCCAGAGCCAAAGCAAUUGAAGCAAAUAUACAUCAGUCCUCCUUUAAUGAUACAGAGUAAGACGAGCCUUGUUGCCUGACAGGAGCCUUGUAAGGAGACAUAGCCUUCACAUUUUGGGGGAGAUGAGUGAUACAACAGUAGACUAGGGUGAAGAACCUCAGGGCCGGGGAUGAAUGCUGCCUCCCAGGCCUCUCUAUCUGGCUGAGGGGCCAACUUCUCCAGAGGAUUGCGGGGCCCCACGAGCGAUACUUUGGUAUCUAUCUAUCUGUCACCAUGCCCCUGUAUCUGUUUGAUCCUUACCUGAGUACAAG